GGGUCAAUGAUGAAAUAUUUGCCUUGUAUCUAGAGAGGAGUUGUCUUAAAACUCAUGCUCAGUAGAGUUACACUGAGAUCC
rnacentral:snoRNA from 1 species